rnacentral:rRNA from 1 species
AGAGUUUGAUCAUGGCUCAGAACGUACGCUGGCGGCACGCCUUAUACAUGCAAGUCGAACGAAGUAGCAAUACUUAGUGGCAGACGGGUGAGUAACAUGUAGGUAUCUGCCCUUUGGCCUGGAAUAACACGAGGAAACUUGUGCUAAUACUGGAUAAGUCUUUACGGAGAAAGCUUUAUGCACCAUUGGAUGAGCCUGCACUUGAUUAGUCUGUUGGUGGGGUAAUGGCCUACCAAGACAAUGAUCAAUAGCUGAUUUGAGAGGAUGAUCAGCCACAUUGGAACUGAGACACGGUCCAAACUCCUACGGGAGGCAGCAGUAGGGAAUCUUGCACAAUGGAGGAAACUCUGAUGCAGCGAUGCCGCGUGAGUGAAGAAGGCCUUUGGGUUGUAAAGCUCUUUCGUCGGGGAAGAAAAUGACUUUACCCGAAUAAGAAGGUCCGGCUAACUUCGUGCCAGCAGCCGCGGUAAUACGAAGGGACCUAGCGUAGUUCGGAAUUACUGGGCUUAAAGAGUUCGUAGGUGGUUAAAAAAGUUGGUGGUGAAAUCCCAGAGCUUAACUCUGGAACUGCCAUCAAAACUUUUUAGCUAGAGUAUGAUAGAGGAAAGCAGAAUUUCUAGUGUAGAGGUGAAAUUCGUAGAUAUUAGAAAGAAUACCGAUUG